AGAGUUUGAUCAUGGCUCAGGAAGAACGCUGGCGGCGUGCUUAACACAUGCAAGUCGAACGGGCAGCACUGGAAGGUUUGCUGGAAGGUGCUGUUAGAGGCGGACGGGUGAGUAACGCGUGAGGACAUGGCUCCAGGAGGGGGAUAACGUUUGGAAACGGACGCUAAGACCCCAUAUGCCGGAAGGUGAAAAUGGCGUAAGCAGCCUGGAGAGUGACUCGCGUCCUAUUAGCUAGUUGGUGGGGUGAAGGCCUACCAAGGCGAUGAUGGGUAGCCGACCUGAGAGGGUGGCCGGCCACACUGGAACUGAGAUACGGUCCAGACUCCUACGGGAGGCAGCAGUGGGGAAUAUUGGGCAAUGGGCGAAAGCCUGACCCAGCGACGCCGCGUGGGGGAAGAAGUCUUUCGGGAUGUAAACCCUUGUUGUACGGGACGAAAACAAUGACGGUACCGUACGAGGAAGCCCCGGCAAACUACGUGCCAGCAGCCGCGGCAAUACGUAGGGGGCAAGCGUUGUCCGGAAUUACUGGGCGUAAAGCGCACGUAGGCGGGUUGUUAAGUCGGCCGUGAAAGGCACUGGCUCAACCGGUGUAUGUCGGUCGAUACUGGCAGUCUAGGAGUGGGGGCCCGCACAAGCGGUGGAGCACGUGGUUUAAUUCGAUGCAAACCGAAGAACCUUACCUGGGUUUGACAUGCACGUGGUACGGAGAUGAAAGUCGAAGGACCCUGUAGAGAUACAGGGAGCGUGCACAGGUGCUGCAUGGCUGUCGUCAGCUCGUGUCGUGAGAUGUUGGGUUAAGUCCCGCAACGAGCGCAACCCCUGCAUCCAGUUGCCAGCGAGUGAAGUCGGGGACUCUGGAUGGACUGCCGGCGACAAGCCGGAGGAAGGUGGGGAUGACGUCAAGUCAUCAUGGCCCUUAUGUCCAGGGCGACACACGUGCUACAAUGGCCGGCACAACGGGAAGCGAAGGGGCGACCCGGAGCGGAUCCAAUCAAAGCCGGUCCCAGUUCGGAUUGGAGUCUGCAACCCGACUCCAUGAAGCUGGAAUUGCUAGUAAUCGCGGAUCAGCCAAGCCGCGGUGAAUACGUUCCCGGGCCUUGUACACACCGCCCGUCACACCACCCGAGUUGGGGGCACCCGAAGCCGGAGGCUUAACCCGUAAGGGGAAGAUCCGUCGAAGGUGCGUCUGGUAAGGGGGGUGAAGUCGUAACAAGGUAGCCGUACCGGAAGGUGUGGUUGGAUCACCUCCUU
rnacentral:rRNA from 1 species